rnacentral:rRNA from 1 species
CCUACGGGAGGCAGCAGUGGGGAAUAUUGGGCAAUGGGCGCAAGCCUGACCCAGCAACGCCGCGUGAAGGAAGAAGGCCCUCGGGUUGUAAACUUCUUUUAACAGGGACGAAGAAAGUGACAGUACCUGUAGAAUAAGCUCCGGCUAACUACGUGCCAGCAGCCGCGGUAAUACGUAGGGAGCAAGCGUUAUCCGGAUUUAUUGGGUGUAAAGGGUGCGUAGACGGAGAAGCAAGUUAGUUGUGAAAUCCCUCGGCUUAACUGAGGAACUGCAACUAAAACUACUUCCCUUGAGUACUGGAGAGGAAAGUGGAAUUCCUAGUGUAGCGGUGAAAUGCGUAGAUAUUAGGAGGAACACCAGUGGCGAAGGCGACUUUCUGGACAGUAACUGACGUUGGGGCACGAAAGUGUGGGGAGCAAACAGGAUUAGAUACCCGUUAGC